CCUACGGGAGGAAGCAGUGAGGAAUAUUGGUCAAUGGACGAGAGUCUGAACCAGCCAAGUAGCGUGAAGGAUGACUGCCCUAUGGGUUGUAAACUUCUUUUAUAUGGGAAUAAAAUGUUCCACGUGUGGGAUUUUGUAUGUACCAUAUGAAUAAGGCUCGGCUAACUCCGUGCCAGCAGCCGCGGUAAUACGGAGGAUCCGAGCGUUAUCCGGAUUUAUUGGGUUUAAAGGGAGCGUAGGUGGAUUGUUAAGUCAGUUGUGAAAGUUUGCGGCUCAACCGUAAAAUUGCAGUUGAAACUGGCAGUCUUGAGUACAGUAGAGGUGAGCGGAAUUCGUGGUGUAGCGGUGAAAUGCUUAGAUAUCACGAAGAACUCCGAUUGCGAAGGCAGUUCACUGGACUGCAACUGACACUGAGGCUCGAAAGUGUGGGUAUCAAACAGGAUUAGAUACCCGAGUAGUC
rnacentral:rRNA from 1 species